CGUCCGGUGGAAACAGUCGUAAAACAGCUGAGACACGGCUAAAGCACUAAAAGUCGGCUGGCCGGUUCCAGGACGUCUCGUGUUCCAGAGCGGAGCGUUCUGAAACCAUUAAAGCGUAAUGAUGGAUGCGAGGUGAUAGCAUGCUGCGCUGUGUUGAUCCGCGUAAACCUCAGCCGGUCAGCUGACGUUGUUUGGCGAACACGACCGUACAACGGCGCAGCAGGGGGGUUCCGCUCCGCCAGCUGCGAUCGUGCAUCGCCCGUCGCAGAUGCGUUUCGCUUGUUUUUGGCUUUAGCGCUCUGGUGUGUCCGUCAAGAAGAGGCCGUUUUAGAGGCGUGCAGCUACGGGAGUGACUGGGAAUGGGAUACAGGAUCCAGACUCGGGUUUGGAGCGAAAUGAGAGCUGGUCUGGCCAGUGUCUUGAAGAGGCUCAGGUCAGCAUGUCCAGACACAAGACAGAAAGGCGUGGCAUUCUGGGAAAAAAAAGGCCGCUGCCUCGGAUCGGGUUCCAGCUCGGGCGGUCUGCUGAUGUGAUGCCAGAGCCCGCGCCGAUCCGGGACAUCAAUGUGUAUGCCGACAUGCUGUUUCUGAGCUGUUGGAAAGUGUAACAGUAAGGAAAACACCGAUGACUUCAAAGCUCCAGAGAAGGAUGACGAGAAGGACCGACGGGACCACCGGCGCUCCAGGAGCUCAGAUGAAGAGAAAACAUGACGCAGUGGCCAAGCGCAACAGAGCACCAGUCUUAUGGCAGGGACCGGAGCGACCCCCAGGCGUCCAGGUUUCCGUCGUCCCCCGCCCUGGGUAAUGGAACGAAACUUGCAGCAGAGAAGGACAAACUGCAGAAAGGCACCGAGACACUGGAAAGGGGGAGGAAGAGAGAGACAGCGUGAGAGAGGAGUGGAGAAAAGGAGAGAGGAGGGGAAGAGAAAAAUGGAGAUAGCAUGGAUUGGUGGAGCAUCUCCAUGCUGUCAGGGAUUCUAAGUACAGGUUACCACCGUCUGGCCAUCGAAAAGGGCCGGAGUGUAGAAAUCCGCUGAUGUUUUCACAUUAAAAAAUAAAAAUAAAACCAAAUCCCAUGUUUCAAUGAUUUGGUCCAAUGUGAAAUGUUACAUAUCUAUUUUGGAGUAGGGCGCACAGCAAGCCUCGCUGCAAAAUACGUAAGAACAGGUGGUGACAACUCUACCAAUACUGCACCUUUUAUCUAUGUAAUUACACUCCAUAUUUCACACACAUGUUUUCUUUGCUAAAUAUGAUUACGCUUAUCCACAUUAUACAUAUUAUUUGGUAAAGUUUAAAGGGCUUAUUAGCUGCCAUUAAUUAUUAUUGGUGCAUUUAUUAAUGUGAUUAUUAAUAGGCCUUACGAUUAUGUUAAAUUCUAUUCAUU